rnacentral:rRNA from 1 species
UACGUAGGCAGCAAGCGUUGUUCGGAAUUACUGGGCGUAAAGAGUGUGUAGGCGGUGCUCUAAGUCUGUCGUGAAAUCUCCCGGCUUAACUGGGAGGGUGCGGCGGAAACUGGAAUGCUAGAGGGUGGGAGAGGAAAGCGGAAUUCCUGGUGUAGCGGUGAAAUGCGUAGAUAUCAGGAGGAACACCUGCGGUGUAGACAGCUUUCUGGACCACUUCUGACGCUGAGACACGAAAGCGCGGGUAGCAAACAGG